CGCCUGAUGUCGGGAUUGUUUCGGGGAUGGUCGUUGAGGUUUGGUGAGGCUUUCGUCUGUUCACGUUAGUUUCAGUAUCGAAUUCUUCGUUUCUUCCAGGAAGGUUGGUUUACACCUUCCCAUGUGGACACGAGAAAAUGAUUGGACUGUAGUGGAAAUUUUGGAGUUAGGAUUCUAGAACUCAGGCCAAUGAAUACUCUGUGCAGGGAUCAAGCUAAUGGACUUAGUCUGUUCAAUUAGACUGAAUAAGAGAUAGGUUUCAUAAGGCUCAUAGCCUUAGUCUUUGCCUGCUUAUCAUCAAGGUGGAAUAAGAAGUCCCGGUUUAUUGC